GGGGAAUCUUCCGCAAUGGGCGAAAGCCUGACGGAGCAAUACCGCGUGAGGGAGGAUGGCUCUUGGGUUGUAAACCUCUUUUAUCAGGGAAGAACCAAAUGACGGUACCUGAAGAAUCAGCAUCGGCUAACUCCGUGCCAGCAGCCGCGGUAGUACGGAGGAUGCAAGCGUUAUCCGGAAUUAUUGGGCGUAAAGCGUCCGCAGGUGGCUCAUCAAGUCUGCUGUCAAAGGCAGGGGCUUAACCCCUGAAAGGCAGUGGAAACUGGAGAGCUAGAGUGCAGUAGGGAUAGAGGGAAUUCCCGGUGUAGCGGUGAAAUGCGUAGAGAUCGGGAAGAACACCGGUGGCGAAAGCGCUCUGCUGGACUGCAACUGACACUAAAGGACGAAAGCUAGGGGAGCGAAUGGGAUUAGAUACCCCAGUAGUC
rnacentral:rRNA from 1 species